CCUAAACGAUUUAGUCCAAAAUCAUCUUUUAUUAUGACAAAAAUACCCAUCAGAUACCUCGGGGAUAUCGAGCUUCUUCGGUUUCUAUUUUUUCAUUUUCAUUUAAUGGAAACACCUUUGCGAGCGAAGAAAAAAUCAAAAAAUUAAGUCUCUUAGUGAAAUUACUGUAUUGUGUAUAUGAGACUAUGUUGGGAGCCACGUAAAGGUGAGAGCCACUUAGAUGCUAUGCUGAGAUGAGAGAUUUUGACAACUCUCUCCAUUUUUGGACAUGAUCUGCCGCCAAAAAAAAAGUUCGACGUUUUCAUGCAUUUUCAGACAAUAGAGACACAUUUCUACUCAAGAAAGGUGUUCGUAGUAGAUCCAAAGCAACAUCUUUCUGGCUUAGAUUUUGAUCCUUCCAAGCAUGUUCCUAAGUUUAGAGGUUGAAGGUCGUAAGGAUCGUAUCUAAGAGACGCAUAGAAGCGGAAGAAAAUUUCAACAAUAGACUCGCUCCUACUUUUAACUUUUGUUCCAUAUCUAUAACACUUUUUUAUGGAUAUCUUUUGAGGUAACAAUACCGACAGUAGAAAAACGAGUUGCAUCUCACAAUAGUAAAGUUGGCAAGAUCGCGGAGCCACAUGAUUACCAUCAUGAGAUUGCAAUGCUACAUGAAAAGUUUGACCAUUCUCGAUCAUCAAACCAUUCUAUCGAGUUACUGAGGUCACUUUUAUUGAAAUACAAUUAACCUGCAGCUGAAACGAAACAAGUUAGGCACGAGGGGGGACAAAACUCUAUCCUCAACAUUUGUUAUCUUCUGAAUCAGUUUGGGGAGAGAUUCCAAUACAGGUAGAAGAAGGAAACUGCAUGCCACACCCCUAGUAUAUGUAAGCUAACUUUACAGGUUAAGUGCUAAACUAUCCUAUGCAAAUAUGGUCGUUAUUCAGCUAGAGCUUGGUGCGGUCGAUAUUUUUGUCAGGCUGUGCAGAUUAGAGUGGCAGUAAGGCAAUCAUGAAUGUUGGAUUUUUUGUACUUUUGCUGAUGUGUACAUAGUUUUACACUAGCGUGAAUUAAAAAAAAAUUAAGUGAAAAUUAUAUAGUCAUAUGGGUACUCUUUUUUUAGCUCUCGAAAAGAGCUUUCCGAAUACCUAAAAUU